rnacentral:rRNA from 1 species
UACGUAGGGGGCUAGCGUUGUCCGGAAUGAUUGGGCGUAAAGCGUCCGCAGGUGGCCCUGUAAGUCUGCUGUUAAAGAGUGAGGCUUAACCUCAUAAAUGCAGUGGAAACUACAGAGCUGGAGUGCGUUCGGGGCAGAAGGAAUUCCUGGUGUAGCGGUGAAAUGCGUAGAGAUCAGGAAGAACACCGGUGGCGAAGGCGUUCUGCUAGGCCGCAACUGACACUGAGGGACGAAAGCUAGGGGAGCGAAUGGG